AGAGUUUGAUCCUGGCUCAGGGUUAACGCUGGCGGCGCGCAUAACACAUGCAAGUCGAGCGAGGGCUCUUCUCCCGCAAGGGAGGGGAGUUCCUAGCGGCGAACGGGUGAGUAACACGUGGGCAACCUUUCCUAUCGCGGGGGAUAACAGCGGGAAACCGCUGCUAAUACCGCAUGUCGUCACUGGUCGCAUGGCCGGUG
rnacentral:rRNA from 1 species